AAUUUCGGGUAAUCGCGGGUAUUUUUCAAUAUCUGAGGAAAGUCCAUGCUCUCACAGGCUGCGAUGCCUGUAGUGUUCGUGCUUCGCGAAACAAUAAGCGGAGGCUUGAUGGCGGGCAAACGGGCUAAGGCGUAUGCUAUGCUCUAGUCGCCCUGAAAAGUGCCACAGUGACGGAGUUCAACGGGAAAUCGUUGGAGUGGAACGCGGUAAACCCCUCGAGAGAGCAACCUAAACAUUUGGUAAGGGCACUUGUCUUAAGGAAUUUGAACGAAGAGACGAGGCUGUUUUACAGUAGACAGAUGAUUACCGAACCGAUGUCGACCCAGGGCAUUGGGGAACAGAACAUGGCUUAUAGAA
rnacentral:RNase_P_RNA from 1 species